rnacentral:rRNA from 1 species
GAUGAACGCUGGCGGCGUGCCUAAUACAUGCAAGUCGAGCGAACAGAUGAGGAGCUUGCUCCUCUGACGUUAGCGGCGGACGGGUGAGUAACACGUGGAUAACCUACCUAUAAGACUGGGAUAACUUCGGGAAACCGGCGCUAAUACCGGAUAAUAUAUUGAACCGCAUGGUUCAAUAGUGAAAGACGGUUUUGCUGUCACUUAUAGAUGGAUCCGCGCCGCAUUAGCUAGUUGGUAAGGUAACGGCUUACCAAGGCAACGAUGCGUAGCCGACCUGAGGGGGUGAUCGGCCACACUGGAGCUGAGACACGGUCCAGACUCCUACGGGAGGCAGCAGUAGGGAAUCUUCCGCAAUGGGCGAAAGCCUGACGGAGCAACGCCGCGUCAGUGAUGAAGGGCUUCGGAUCGUAAAACGCUGUUAUUAGGGAAGAACAAAUGUGUAAGUAACGAUGCACGUCUUGACGGAACCGAAUCAGAAAGCCACGGCUAACUACGG